GGGGGGAGGCUACCGUGCAGUCGAGCGGGGGAGGGUAGCUUGCUACUUAACCUAGCGGCGGACGGGUGAGUAAUGCUUAGGAAUCUGCCUAUUAGUGGGGGACAACAUCUCGAAAGGGAUGCUAAUACCGCAUACGUCCUACGGGAGAAAGCAGGGGACCUUCGGGCCUUGCGCUAAUAGAUGAGCCUAAGUCGGAUUAGCUAGUUGGUGGGGUAAAGGCCUACCAAGGCGACGAUCUGUAGCGGGUCUGAGAGGAUGAUCCGCCACACUGGGACUGAGACACGGCCCAGACUCCUACGGGAGGCAGCAGUGGGGAAUAUUGGACAAUGGGGGGAACCCUGAUCCAGCCAUGCCGCGUGUGUGAAGAAGGCCUUUUGGUUGUAAAGCACUUUAAGCGAGGAGGAGGCUACCGAGAUUAAUACUCUUGGAUAGUGGACGUUACUCGCAGAAUAAGCACCGGCUAACUCUGUGCCAGCAGCCGCGGUAAUACAGAGGGUGCAAGCGUUAAUCGGAUUUACUGGGCGUAAAGCGCGCGUAGGUGGCCAAUUAAGUCAAAUGUGAAAUCCCCGAGCUUAACUUGGGAAUUGCAUUCGAUACUGGUUGGCUAGAGUAUGGGAGAGGAUGGUAGAAUUCCAGGUGUAGCGGUGAAAUGCGUAGAGAUCUGGAGGAAUACCGAUGGCGAAGGCAGCCAUCUGGCCUAAUACUGACACUGAGGUGCGAAAGCAUGGGGAGCAAACAGGAUUAGAUACCCUGGUAGUCCAUGCCGUAAACGAUGUCUACUAGCCGUUGGGGCCUUUGAGGCUUUAGUGGCGCAGCUAACGCGAUAAGUAGACCGCCUGGGGAGUACGGUCGCAAGACUAAAACUCAAAUGAAUUGACGGGGGCCCGCACAAGCGGUGGAGCAUGUGGUUUAAUUCGAUGCAACGCGAAAACCUUACCUGGUCUUGACAUAGUAAGAACUUUCCAAAGAUGGAUUGGUGCCUUCGGGA
rnacentral:rRNA from 1 species